UACGGAAGGCAGCAGUGGGGAAUAUUGCACAAUGGGCGAAAGCCUGAUGCAGCUAUGCCGCGUGUAUGAAGAAGGCCUUAGGGUUGUAAAGUACUUUCAUCGGGGAGGAAAAACAAAACUAAUAAUUUUAUUUCUUGACGUUACCCGAAAAAGAAGCACCGGCUAACUCCGUGCCAGCAGCCGCGGUAAUACGGAGGGUGCGAGCGUUAAUCGGAAUUACUGGGCGUAAAGGGCACGCAGGCGGUUAAUUAAGUUGGAUGUGAAAUCCCCGGGCUUAACCUGGGAAUGGCAUUCAAGACUGGUUAGCUAGAGUCUUGUAGAGGGGGUAGAAUUCCAUGUGUAGCGGUGAAAUGCGUAGAGAUGUGGAGGAAUACCGGUGGCGAGGCGGCCCCUGGACAAGACUGACGCUCAUGUGCGAAAGCGUGGGGAGCAAACAGGGAUUAGAUACC
rnacentral:rRNA from 1 species